GUACACUCCUACGGGAGGCAGCAGUGGGGAAUAUUGGACAAUGGGCGCAAGCCUGAUCCAGCCAUGCCGCGUGAGUGAUGAAGGCCCUAGGGUUGUAAAGCUCUUUCACCGGUGAAGAUAAUGACGGUAACCGGAGAAGAAGCCCCGGCUAACUUCGUGCCAGCAGCCGCGGUAAUACGAAGGGGGCUAGCGUUGUUCGGAUUUACUGGGCGUAAAGCGCACGUAGGCGGACUAUUAAGUCAGGGGUGAAAUCCCGGGGCUCAACCCCGGAACUGCCUUUGAUACUGGUAGUCUUGAGUUCGAGAGAGGUGAGUGGAAUUCCGAGUGUAGAGGUGAAAUUCGUAGAUAUUCGGAGGAACACCAGUGGCGAAGGCGGCUCACUGGCUCGAUACUGACGCUGAGGUGCGAAAGCGUGGGGAGCAAACAGGAUUAGAAACCCUAGUAGUCCCAUGA
rnacentral:rRNA from 1 species